rnacentral:rRNA from 1 species
GUAGGGAAUAUUGGGCAAUGGAUGCAAGUCUGACCCAGCCAUGCCGCGUGGAGGAAGAAGGUCCUCUGGAUUGUAAACUCCUUUUUUGGGGGAAGAAUAGUUCUCUUGCGAGGGAAUGUGACGGUACCCUAAGAAUAAGCCACGGCUAACUACGUGCCAGCAGCCGCGGUAAUACGUAGGUGGCAAGCGUUGUCCGGAUUUAUUGGGUUUAAAGGGUGCGUAGGUGGUAUGAUAAGUCAGUGGUGAAAGCUGGUUGCUCAACAAUCAAGUUGCCAUUGAUACUGUCGGACUUGAGAGAAGUGGAGGUUCAUGGAAUGGAUGGUGUAGCGGUGAAAUGCAUAGAUAUCAUCCAGAACGUCGAUUGCGAAGGCAGUGGGCUGUACUUUAUCUGACACUGAGGCACGAAAGUGUGGGGAUCAAACAGGAUUAGAAACCCGGGUAGUCC